rnacentral:rRNA from 1 species
CCUUUAGAUACCCGGGUAGUCCACGCCGUAAACGAUGUCUACUAGCUGUUGCCUUGCUAUUUUAUAGCAAGGUUGUGGCGUAGCUAACGCGAUAAGUAGACCGCCUGGGGAGUACGGCCGCAAGGUUAAAACUCAAAUGAAUUGACGGGGACCCGCACAAGCGGUGGAGCAUGUGGUUUAAUUCGAUGCAACGCGAAGAACCUUACCUACUCUUGACAUCUUCGGAAGAUCUUGUAAUGAGAUUGUGCCUUCGGGAACCGGAUGACAGGUGCUGCAUGGCCGCCGUCAG